GGGAUUAUGGCUUAGUAGCAGAGUAUCUGCUUGGCACGCAGAAGUUCCAAGGUUCAAUCCCAAGCAUCUUCA
rnacentral:tRNA from 1 species